rnacentral:misc_RNA from 1 species
AAAGUGCGAUAACUAGUGUGAAUUGCAGAAUUCUGUGAAUCAUCGAACUCUUGAACGCAUCCUGCGCCUUGAGGCUAUCCUCGAGGCACACUUGUUUGAGUGGCGACAAAAAUUCUCUAUCCUAAAAAAAAAAGGAAUCUUUUCCUUUAUUUAAGGGGAUAAUGACAGUGUAGAGAGUUCCUUCAAUGGUUUACUCACAACUCUGUUUAAAAGUAUAGGUUGAACUUGUAACUUCAUAAAUUAAGUUCAUUAGGUUUGAGGAAUUUUAUUAUUCCACUUUAUAUUACCCCUUCUGAAUCUCUUUAUAUUUUUGAAAUUACAUUUCCUCAAUUCAAAAGGAACAAUAUUAUUCAUUAUUUUUCGCCCUCAAAUCAAGUGGGAUUACCCCCUGAAUUUAA